rnacentral:rRNA from 1 species
ACGACCGGUUCGUCGGCGGCGAGAAACUCCCGGGCAAGGUGACUUUCGUCUCGGCGCAGGAGCAUACAGGCCCGGUGAGCGUCGGCCCGUCGGUGGACCGAGGAAGACCGUCGCGGAGCGGCGUCGACCGUUCGUCGUGUGUUGGCGUUCGACUCGGGGGGACUGGUUCCAGUGCCCUCGGACCGCCCCGGCGCAGCGGCGGGCGCGCACGGCGUCGCGCCUGGGCUCGGUGGCGAAUCGGCCGGCAACCUGUCCGACCCGUCUUGAAACACGGACCAAGGAGUCUAACAUGUGCGCGAGUCGUUGGGCGCUACGAAACCCGAAGGCGCAAUGAAAGUGAAGGCCCGGUCUCCGGCCGGCCUGGGUGGGAUCCCGGCGGUCUCGGCCGUCGGGCGCACCACCGGCCCGUCUCGUUCGUUACGUCGAGGAGGCGGAGCAAGAGCGUACACGUUGGGACCCGAAAGAUGGUGAACUAUGCCCGAGUAGGACGAAGCCAGAGGAAACUCUGGUGGAGGUCCGCAGCGAUUCGGACGUGCAAAUCGAUCGUCAAACUUGGGUAUAGGGGNGAAAGANUAAUCGAACCAUNUAGUAGCUGGUUNCUGUCGAAGUUUCCCUCAGGAUAGCUGGCGCUCGUCGUGAGCAGUUUUAUCCGGUAAAGCGAAUGACUGGAGGCCUUGGG